rnacentral:antisense_RNA from 1 species
CCUCAGCUUGCAGACAGCCUAUUGUGGGACCUUGUGAUCAUGCAUCUGUGUGCACCAAUGCAGAAAAGACGGGGACUAUGAGGAAGGAAAAUGUUGCAUCAGGAAGGGCUGCUGGCACAUCUGUGUCCCUCCGCCCCCUUCGUCCCCAAGCAG